CCUCCAUUUAGAACUGUUUUUGUUUAAAGCAAAAGCAUUCAUGACGCAGACGUACAGCAGUCUGUGGAGGAGUAUUCACACUCUGCUGCUCAAACCCAGCUGUAGGAAGACUCGCUCACUUUCCCCACCUUUCCCUGCAGCAUGCUUACUUCGGCACAGCCCCCCCAGCAGCACUCCCCUGUCCCUACCCACCUGGCACGGUGCUCACCUGCCUCACAGCACCAGUGGAACCAAUUUAUGCAAGGGAGCUUCCCUCUGCAGAAGGGAGAAGAGUGGUUUGAGAAAGCAGCUGUCCAGUUACAGACCCAGCUACAACGGGGUCCAGACAAGGACAUGGAACUGGAGUGCGGAAAGGCAAGCUUGUUGCUGAGGCGGUUGCAUGUUGCGUUUAUGAAGUCACUGAAGUCGUGGUUGGACGUGACAGGAAGUAGCAUGAACUAUUUGAUCAAAGCAACUAAAAUGCAAGAGGAAAUAACGGACUGCCACAUCAGACGGGAGGCAUUUAUUUUUCCGGUUGAAGAGACUCUCUUCAUUCCUUCUCAAAUCAAGGAGUUAGCACGAGCUGUGAAUCCUUAAGGAAUGUGGUAUCUGAUGCUAGAUUUAUUUUGCUCUGUUUAAAAUUCAAAUGGAUCACUUUUGAAGUAAAAUCAGCUACAACAGUGAUGUCUUUUGUUUCGAUUAAUUUGCUCAAUUUGAAAUGCUGGAGCUGGAUUUGACUUCACACUAUCAGUGUAAGUAGGAAAUCAGACACCCAAACAAGGAUGCAGAGUCUUUUGCUUUUUGUUGGAGGGGAGACUAUUACACAAAAUGUAUGUUUUUAUCCAGAUAGUAGGAUACAGCUGAUGCAAAUCCUAUGGAGCCCUUGCUAAACUCUGUUCUGAGAGCUGACAGGACCUUACCGCAUCCAGCAUCCCACAGAGCUCAGCUCUUCAAACAGAGAAGUCACCGACAAGUACAUUUUUGCAAACAAUUGUGUUCCAACUGCACAGACCCUUAUCAGUUCUUCCUCAGAGAAAAGCAGCCAUGUCCACCAGACUCUGCUUACGUGGCCAAUUUUCACACUUAGCUACACGCAUUUUCCUCAGGAAAUACAUGAUUAAGGACAUGCAAAUCAAUAUUUCUGUAUUCUAAAUUUGUUUUUCUACGAAGAACAGACAAUUGUUACCAAUUGCACAACUGCAGCUCAUCUGUGAAUUACUCCAACCCCAAACAGUUUCUCAGUUUAAAUUUUGUCUCCCUGUAAUAGCUGCCUUAUCUUUAUUUCGUAUAGCAGUGCUUUUUGUAUAACUAAGCAAAUAAAAAUAAAUAACAGAACCCCA
rnacentral:lncRNA from 1 species